rnacentral:lncRNA from 1 species
AAACCCUUACCUCAGCCUCGAUGAAGAUCCGACGGCUUCUUUUCAACAGAAAACGGAGGAAACUCUCUCUAUAUAUUUUUUUGAUGGCUCUCUCUCUCUCUCUCGACUGGCAGCCCGAGGAAGAAGAACUCGGGUGUGGCGGCUCUACCUUGAGUGGUCUCAAAGGGAAGGAAGAGGAUGCCCUAAAACAGAGGAUCCCAACUUCUUCGGAAUAGACCCCCUCC